GCCCUCGUGGUGAAACGGAUAUCAUGCGGGGCUUCGGACCCCGAGGUCCGGGUUCGAGUCCUGGCGAGGGCA
rnacentral:tRNA from 1 species